UUUAGAGCUAAGAUGUUGCUUGUUGGUGCAGGCCCAAUACUAAAUGCAUGCUGCCAAAAUGGAGGCGCUGAAAGCUAGGAUGCUUCUAGUUUAUGAAAAUCACAAUAUUAUUGCUUGCGAAUAUACUUAUUUACUAUGGUUAUACAUUUUCAGCAAAGCUGACUGUUUUCAUUUGUGUUAUAGAUACAAACCCAGACCUUGGCCAUCUGAUCGAGUAUAUUUUCCUUGAUCUGGAUGCACCUGCUGUGUGCGAAUACUGUGACCUUCGCUUGGUUCAAGACUACCAUCAUUCAGUUCGGUGUUGCCUGUCUCUGGCACUUGGUGAAGUGAACACAGACUGGUGUGGCGCUUGUUCCUCCAUGGUUUCUCCCUUUGUGUUUCGUCUAAUAGGUCAGAAAUUGGAACUUCUUUUAAAUCCGCUGCCCCCAUGGAACAGUUCACGUACACUGACGCCUUUAUGGCGCCAGGUCCUGCAGCGCCCAUGUAGCUCCACCGUGAAGCCCCCCUCUCAACAACAGGAGUCCUGAUGUGUAGAAGUCCACCACAUCCAUGGACAGGUGGAAGACCACAUUAUGCAUCAUCAAAAUGGUUCUUUGAAGUAAAAUAAAUAAAACAGAAGUUCACCCAAGUACACAUUGUGAAGUUCCUUUUUAUCACAGAAAGUGUCAUG